GCGCUGCCGAGGAGUCCCACAAUAGGACGAAACGGCCGUCCAGUGC
rfam:Schistosoma mansoni strain Puerto Rico chromosome 4, complete genome